CCUCCCCCAUCCCACGGUGAGGGAUCCUCUGCAAAUUACGCGCGCUGACAAAACCGUAAAUAUUCUGUUUCUUUCAAACACGCCCUCAAAAAAAUCCUAAUUGUGCAUUGAUGUGUGCAUCAUAACUCUCACUACUUAUACUGUAUAUUAGAUUUGAGUAGAUUUGAGGAAACACGGGUGGCCUAAUUUUCUGGGAAUGGCUGAAAGAGUUAACUGCAAACCCGGAAAAGGCGAAGUCUGCACAGCAACAAGCGCCAUGAUUGCGUUGCGCUGAGCGCCUCAGCAGCUGGAGAGGUUGGAGAUGUGAGCUUCACCCCCUCCGUCAUGCGAGUGGUCCAAGAAAGGCAGAAGAUUGCUGUUUAUGCGUUUACAAGUUAUUGAUAUCUAACAACUUUUACGCACAAGAACGUCUUUUUAAAAGCGAGGAUGUGGUCCAGCGGUGAACGCGUAAUUGGAGCUGCUGGCAGCGCUCGCGCCGUCUUUUUACAUGGGCACGGUCUUCAGUUUCACUUUCGGGAUGGAAGCACAUCUGGAACAUGACACCAAAUCUGUAUCCUUUGGCGAAUUUGUAGAGUUUUCAUGUGAUUUGUUUGCUUGAGGAUAUCAUCCAUGUGAAUGAGGGGAGCCAUGGAGGGGCUGGAAGAGGAGCUUACAUGCCCGAUCUGCUGCAGUCUGUUCGAGGACCCGCGGGUGCUGCUCUGCUCUCACAGCUUCUGCAAGAAGUGCUUGGAGGCUCUGGUGGAAGGGAGCCGCGGCGUGGUGUUCAGAAAUCCCCUCAAAUGCCCCACAUGCCGCAAAGAGACCCCUCACAACGGCGCAAACUCCCUGCAGAUCAACUACUCCCUCCGCGGAAUAGUUGAGAAGUACAGCAAGUUAAAGGUGCUGCCCAAAACGUCCGUUUGCAAGCAGCAUUGCGGCCACCCUCUCAACAUCUUUUGCGCAACCGAUUCCAAGCUCAUUUGCGGGAUUUGCGCAACAUCGGGUAAUCAUAGAGGGCACAAAUUCAGCUCCCUGGAGGAUGCGUAUGAGCAGGAGAAGGGGGCGUUUGAGGAGAUGCUCCGCGGGGCGGAGAGCUGGCAGAGCGCAGACAUCCUCUCCUGCUUGCAAUCCCUCCAAGCCAAUAAGAAGAAGGCGCUCCAGUCCGUCACCGCGGACGCGGGAAAGGUGGCGGAGUACUUCGACAAACUCAUCGGCGCCCUGGAAUGCAAAAAGAGCGAGAUGCUGUCCGAUUUCGAAACGCUGAAGCUGGUGGUGAUGCAGGCGUACGACCCGCAGAUCGACCGGCUCAGCGCGGCGCUGGAGGAGCAGAGCCGCGCGCUCGCCCUGGCGGAGUCCUUCAAGAGCGUCACUAAGCCGCUCUGCUUCCUGCAGCAGAUGCAGGAGUUCCGAGAAAAGCUCGAGGUCCUCAAACAGACGCCCCUGCCCUCCCGGAAAGAUAUCAACAUCGACCCCUGUGUCCGAAAUUUCGAUGUGAGAAAGUGGGAUUCCCUCAGACUGAGUGAAGUCGACAAGAUUUCUGUCCCCCACGAGAGUGGCUCCUACCGCACCGGGGGCUCACGGAUGCCAGGAGUCAGGCGGAUCGUUUUCUGCCUGACUCUCUUGCUGCUGCUGCUGCCACUAAUCCUGCAGCCUCUGAUGCCUCACAGUUUUGGGGCUGGCGUGACCUCGACGUUUGAUCCCUUCAUGAAGGCGCUCGUCUCUCAAACCUCCGCGUUUUUGCAGAAAAUGACUGAUCUGUGCAAACGUUUCAUGGAUGCAGACCAGGAGUACAUCUACUGGCCAACCUUUUGGCAACUGUAAGUUGUCAUGUAGACUCUGACAUCCCACUAAAAAAGUCUCACGAGAUCUGUGAGAUGCGUAAAGCAGAUUUUGAAACACUUGUUCAUUUGAUUUUUUACUCCACCUCAAGCAAUCACACUAAAUCAGUGUUCUUAGGGUGUGCAAUCUGUUCAGUUUUUGAUUACACUAAAGUUUCUUUUUGUCAAAAAUGAGCUUGACAAAUAAACUCAAACUGAGUCCCUUUAUAUGACUGUUUUCAUUCAGGGCUGGAGCGCUGAUGCGCAGUCAGAGGAGUACAGUGCGAUCGAUGGCUCCCCCCUUUGAGUGCGUGUGAACCAGUGAUGCUGCAACCUCCUCAAGGUUACAGGAGUUAUGUAACCAGGCCUGCUGAAAUAUUCAGACUCAGAGAUACUGCACGUUGCGCACAUUUCUUCUCGAAUCCAGGGAGCCUCAUCGUGUACAACCAUCCGGAAGCAUGUCCAGACAUGCCACCUUCUCCGCGCAGGCUUUUUAACCCGUUCCUGACACUUGCUCCACAUAAAAUGACCUCAAAGAGUCACCUGACCUUGAGGUUGAAAGGUCAAGUAACCUCUUACAUCCUGCGGAGUUCAGGGACGUGGACAUGACAGCCCAUCGCCUCCCCAGAUCAAGCUGUCUAGGCUGCUGUGUUUUACACACAUUGUACUUGUGUUGCACUAACAAAGGACACAUUUCCUUUGACAUCAGUCACUUUGGAGGAAAUUGUUUUUUUUAAAUGUAAAAAAAAAAAGGAAAUAGAAAAAUUAUUUUAAGCGUUUUUAAGAUUAAUGCUAAAAAAUAUAAGCAGAUAUUUUCAGACAAAUUCCAAAUUCAACUUGUCAAGUACACACAGCUAAGUAUAACGGUUUAAAAAUUUAUAUAAAUAAAUAUUUAUUCUACAAGUGGAAGAACAUUUUUAUGCUUUUCCUCCUAUCUCUGCGUAAAACUCAAACUGGUUAUAAUGCAAAAAAAAAA